UGCAUCGGCCGGGAAUCGAACCCGGGCUGCUCGCGUGGCAGACGAGCAUUCUACCACUGAACCACCGAUGG
rnacentral:tRNA from 1 species